rnacentral:lncRNA from 1 species
CCCUUUUUCUAACCAAACCCUCAUUUAACCCUCUUAAAAUAAAUAAAAAGAUUUUGUGAAGCUUGAAAAGAGUUUUCCUUUUAGAACGUGACAAAAAAAAUUGUUCAGAAGGAUUAUAACUCAGAGUUGCUACCUCACUUCGAUUUCGGUGUGCCAGGCCAUCGGUUUUUUAGAAAAUGUUUUCCUUUUAAAACACUCUGACUCAAAACUAAGUCCGCACCAGAGGUUUGGGUAAGGGGGUUCAUUUGACUCGGGGAGAAGUUAUUUGGCACUCCCCAAGUCUCGUAACUAGUACGAUUGCGUACCCGAUUUAGUUGGAUUUAGAAUAUUCGAAUUGAGAUAAAAAAACACAUAAAAGAAAAAACAAACACACAAGAGGUUCGAGAUCGUUCCCACCUAAUAAAGGAAAAUAAAACUGAAACUAAAAAUACUACGAGUUUCACUUUAGGCCUCCAAAUACAAGUACUCCGAGGCAUUCCCUGGAAUAAAGUAUAUACAGAACCUUCGGGGCAUUCCCCGGAUAAAUUUAACUAAGGGGACAACCUCUCGCCUCAAAAGCUAACAAACAAUUCUAAGGCUUGCCUACCCAAGCGCGGUCGGCCUAAGCAUGCUACUAUCGAUCAAAUUCAUGAAAGUAAGAAUAAAAGAGUAACAAGAUUAUCUAAGCCCGAUUUCCUCCACGUUUAAAAAGGCUAACCCCCACAACUAAACAACUAGAACUCCAUUCAAUCUUAAAAUGACUCAACUCGCAGCAACAAAGGAAUUCGACAUGGACAUACUACUAAUAACAGGUGAACGACUAAAAAAGAAUACUAAAAAAUUAAAAGGUAAAGCAAAUGAAUAAAAUGAUAAGAUCUAUGAGGCACCUCCCUGGACAAACUAACAUCCUAACUCAAUUCAAAAUUCAAAUAUUUUCAUUAGUACUACUCAAAUGCCACCCACGUCACAUGCUUCGCACAAAGAAUUCAAUGAACAGGUUCUAAAGAAAUGCAUAAAAAGUUAACAUUCACACAAACUACCAAUAGUAUUUGCACGAUAGCAUUCAUCUAGUAACAAAAGAACCUAACCCGAGCUCUGAAUAAGUUCUUGACCCCAAUAAAUCUUUCAACCCCAAAAUCACAAACUCAAGCAGGUUAAUCUCAUAUCAGAUACAUUUAUUCAAAAUGUGACAGUCCCACAGGGUAAGUUCAAAAAUUUAAAGGACCUCCAAUUUAUCAAACACAACAACUAACCCUUCAAUGACAAAGAUCAUGGAAUUCCCGAUCAUGUAGAACUUCAGAACUUUGUACCAACUUCUCAAUCAGACCAUUUCAGUUCCUUAACGUUGAAUUUCUGUUGUUUAAAAAUGAAGCUAAAUGCAGAUAGAGCCAUGAAGAAGAGUUAGAUGAAUCUGAGCCCUCAUGAUCCUCAUAUAGUUACUCCAGUUACACAUUGAGACACCAUCACAAACAUUCCACUAUUAGCGUAUUCGACUUGAUUAUGCUGGCAAAACAAGCUUACAAGAUCGAAAGCAAAGAAUCAGUCGUUUUAAACUUAUUCAUGUAAACGAUCGCUUAGUCAACAGGAAGAGUGAAGCUCAAAACAUUUUACGAUUUCAAACAGGGAAGUCGAUCAACUUAAACCUCACCAAAUGGACAUAACAUUCUGAAUCUAAUGUGUAAAUAUUCUGCCACUUUUGAUACCCAAGAAACUAGUUCAACCACAAAAUAGCAACAGAACUCCUCAACUGAUCUCAAAGUAAAAUCCAUUCAAAAUCUAGCAUGAAUACUAAGUAAUCAUUUGAAACACAUGAAAACUGAGGAGAAUACAAACCAACAGAAAGGAACGGAUCAUACGUCAAUAAUUCGAAGACGAAUGAAUGUAAUCUGGAGACUCGAAUACAAUCUGAACGUUCCUAUAUUCAAUUACUCUUAUUCAGACAUAUCAGACAACAAGAUAUUGCAUUGAACAACAAGCAUAGAUCGAAAAAUAUCUUUCAAACACAAGUCACAAUCAGAAACUGACUCCGAACACAACCUCUACUAAAAUACAAUCAAAUAUCUAUCACUAUGGAGGUUAGUUCUUUAUAGCUCUUAUCAUACUUAAAGAUACUAAGAAGUGAGAUCAUUGGGGGAAGAAAUGCACCUGAAAACUGAAAUUUCAAUUUCUUCAAAGGUUCAGCAGUUACACGAGCAUAACAAAAUCGCGACUACAACGGGAACUCGAAGCGGACAAGAGCUUGGACGGAACUUCAGAUUGGCGACUGAUAUCGAACCUCAAAUCUCAACUAAACUCCAUUUCAAACAAGAAAACAGAAGAAGGAACUAAUUGUUUCUCUCUUUUUUGUAUUUUCUCACUUUGAAGUGAAAUUCGAAUUAGAAGAAACUAAUUUUUUUUGUUCUUUUAGGUAUGAAAAUGAAAAAAAAUAGAAUCAAAUAACACUCAGAGAACUCCAAUUUUUGAAUGAAUUGAAAUUUGAAAAACAAACAAAAAUCCGAAAAAAUCCUAGCCUUUUCCUCUCACCCCUAAUUUUUCCGUCGUGAACCCCAAAAAUCUGAGAAAUCACCCCAAUAUAUAGGGGUUCUCGAAUCUUCUAUUCUUAUUCACCAAGAAAUCCCCCAAAACCCCGAAUUUGCCCUUUAAUUAUUUUCGAAAAUCCCUUCUCACAAACAAAAAUCAGAAAAAUGGAGACGUGGGACAAAAUCUUCAUCCUACGGUUCCAUUUCUACGAGAUUUAUUCAAGGGUCUUAAAUUUGCUUCCAAAUCGAUUGAAAAAAGAAAGGAAAAUGCAUACUUCAUGAUUACGAACACGUAGAAGAAGGAGAGGGGAAUAGAGGGAGGACCAUGGGGGACCAUGUGAUGAGUUUGGGUGAGUGACUCGUCCAAUUCCGGCGAGUCCGAGGCGGGCAGAGAUGGUAAUAGGGUGGGGGUGCCGAUUUGGGUGGUCUCUUCCCCAAGCUCAA